rnacentral:rRNA from 1 species
ACUCCUACGGGAGGCAGCAGUGGGAAGUAUUGCACAAUGGGCGGCAAGCCUGAUGCAGCCAUGCCGCGUGUGUGAAGAAGGCCUUCGGGUUGUAAGCACUUUCAGUCGUGAGGAAGGUAGUGUAGUUAACACCUGCAUUAUUUGACGUUACCUACAGAAGAAGCACCGGCUAACUCCGUGCCAGCAGCCGCGGUAAUACGGAGGGUGCGAGCGUUAAUCGGAAUUACUGGGCGUAAAGCGCAUGCAGGCGGCCUGUUAAGUCAGAUGUGAAAG